rnacentral:rRNA from 1 species
GACGAACUGUGCAAACGUUAUUCGGAAUCACUGGGCUUAAAGGGUGCGUAGGUGGUGGUUUAAGUCUGUUGUGAAAGCCCUGGGCUCAACCUGGGAAUUGCAGUGGAUACUGGGUCACUAGAGUGUGGUAGAGAGUAGCGGAAUUCCCGGUGUAGCAGUGAAAUGCGUAGAGAUCGGGAGGAACAUCCGUGGCGAAGGCGGCUACCUGGACCAACACUGACACUGAGGCACGAAAGCGUGGGGAGCAAACAGG